rnacentral:tRNA from 1 species
CAAACUAGAGCUUGAAUAGUUAAGCAUUUCAUUUACAUUGAAUAGUUAUCUGUGCAAUUCAGAUUAGUUUGA